AGCGAACGCUGGCGGCAGGCCUAACACAUGCAAGUCGAGCGCAGUAGCAAUACGGAGCGGCAGACGGGAGAGUAACACGAGGGAACGGACUCACGAGUACGGAACAACCAAGGGAAAGUUUGGAUAAUACCGAAUACGUCGGUAAGGAGAAAGAUUUAUUGCUGUAGGAUCGGCCAGCGUCUGAUUAGCUUGUUGGUGAGGUAACGGCACACCAAGGCGACGAUCAGUAGCUGGUCUGAGAGAAUGAUCAGCCUCACUGGGACUGAGACACGGCCGAGACUCCUACGGAAGGCAGCAGUGGGCAAGAAUGGGCAAUGGACGCAAGCCUGAUCCAGCCAGGCCGGGUGGGUGACGAAGGCCGUAGGGUUGUAAGGCCCUUUCGGCGAGGAAGAUAAUGACGGUACCCGCAGAAGAAGCCCCGGCUAACUUCGUACCAGCAGCCGCCGUAACAC
rnacentral:rRNA from 1 species